rnacentral:lncRNA from 1 species
AGUUUAUCCUGGCUUCAGAGAAUCCCAGAAUGAUGACACAUGUGGGAGUUAGUUAUAUUUCUGACUCUGGAACAGUUUUAAAACAUUGGAUAUGAAAGUCUCAGGGACUUUCCAAGGGAUGCCUAGUUGGUGACAGGAGGAAAAAAUAGUACAGUUCACUCACAGCUGAGCCUUUACCAUUCCUAUGCUGUCCCAGGAGCCUCAGAAAAUGAAUACAUCUCAAGGUUCUGCUUUACCAAACCAGAACUGAUCUUCACAUUGGAACAAGGAGAAGACCCGUGGUCAUUAGAGAAAGAGAAAGGGUUCCUAAACUGGAGCUCCCCGGGUGAGUAACCGAAUACUGGCAGAAAACUCACUGAGUAGCUAGGAGGACGCUUACCACUCAGCAUAUG